rnacentral:rRNA from 1 species
AGUGAACGCUGGCGGUAGGCCUAACACAUGCAAGUCGAACGGCAGCACAGUAAGAGCUUGCUCUUACGGGUGGCGAGUGGCGGACGGGUGAGGAAUACAUCGGAAUCUACUUUUUCGUGGGGAUAACGUAGGGAAACUUACGCUAAUACCGCAUACGACCUACGGGUGAAAGCAGGGGCUCUUCGGACCUUGCGCGAUUGAAUGAGCCGAUGUCGGAUUAGCUAGUUGGCGGGGUAAAGGCCCACCAAGGCGACGAUCCGUAGCUGGUCUGAGAGGAUGAUCAGCCACACUGGAACUGAGACACGGUCCAGACUCCUACGGGAGGCAGCAGUGGGGAAUAUUGGACAAUGGGCGCAAGCCUGAUCCAGCCAUACCGCGUGGGUGAAGAAGGCCUUCGGGUUGUAAAGCCCUUUUGUUGGGAAAGAAAAGCAGCAGGUUAAUACCCCGCUGUUCUGACGGUACCCAAAGAAUAAGCACCGGCUAACUUCGUG